ACAAAGAGUUAAAUUUACGGGAAUAAGAGUCUAUUAUAUUCAAAAACCACAUUGUCCAGCUUAACAACUUUUGAGAAAUUGAUAUUUUUAUCACCAAUCGUAAUUGGUUUAGCUAUAGUACUAAAAGUGCUGAUGUAUUUUUUAAAUGAAUGUUGAAUAUUAUUUUUUUAAGCUUUUUAAGAAAUAUCUUUACGAAACUAAAGCAAUAAUCAGGAAAAUAGAAUGGACUUUGCGGACUUUGAAAUAUUCACCUGGACUUAGUGGUUUUUGUAGCAAAAACAAAAUGGACUUUGUUGGGUUUGAUACAUACAUAUCAUAGCCUAAUUAGACUGACCUAUAUUGAUACUUUUUGUACUUACAUUAAAAGUUGACAUUGAUAGAUUUGUGUUAAUAUGAAUAGUCAAGGUUUUGUAGCAGGUAAAUAAAAAACAAAAGGUAUUGAAAAGGUUUAUUAUAAAAUACAACUUUUACUGGAGUUGCAUUUAGUUACAAUUUUUUUUUUACUAUAAAACACUACGGGGAUAAAUAAAACCUGUGACACUCACACAAAUAACGUGGUUUUUUUAUUAGUAAAAUAUUUUUCAAAAUCGGUUUAGUAGAUCCAGAAUUGACCUCCUACAACCUCACAAACUAUCUCUUUAUAAUAUAAGUACACAUAGCUACAUACUUACAUAAUUCACUUUUUAGUUGAUUAUUGAGUAUAGUUAUAGAAUUUUUUUAUUCUGAAACGGAUCUACGUUACUCUUAAGUAAAAUUCAAAGUAUCCAAACAAUAUCAGUCUUUUUUAGCCUGACUUUUUUUCCAAUUUGCAGAAUGGACUAGACGUUUCCGUGCCUGUUUAUUAUCUACAACUUCAGGAUAACAAUCCAUGAUCUAUUUUUUCGUAAAGUUAUGCAGGAUAAAUUACUUUUAGCACCACAAAAUUAAAAAACCCGAAAGCAAGGUAACGCAACGUAAACAUACUCCCCCAUAUUGCCGGCAAGACGCGACGUGAUUGGUGGAGGUUGAGUUUGCUGGUUUUGCUUCAAACACUAACCUUUGCUUCAAGGACUAAGUUGGUUUUGUAGCAGACAACUAAGUUUCAACGUCUUUUUUAUGGGAAUAAGCGGUUUUAGGUCUAUUUGGUAAUAUUAAACAUAUUCUAUUUUGUCUAUAGAUUUUAGUACCAUAGAUAACAUAGAUACAUUUUGCUUCAUUAGCGGACUUUGUGGUUUUUGAAUUUAGUAGAUUCAUAUCCGUAUCUUAUUCUUUGUGACGACACUACCUCAGUAAAUAUUAAUUAUGUUCUUGCACUGCCUACUCAAGGGCGUAGGUUCUAUUUCCAUUAGGUGUUGUUGUGUGUUGGUGUGUUGAACAUUGAUAUUUUCUAGUGUUUAGAAAUAGUAGUCUGGGGCGGAUUUGACGUCGCCCGAUCUCGCGUUCGCUCGGUGCCGACGUUAGGUGGCGCGACUUGUUUCGUAAAGACUUAGACCAUUAAGUAAAGAGUAGGGAUUUAGAGAGGGGUAACGAUCAGUUGGCGUUAACGACUUGCGAUUUAUGACGCUCGUCGCCCGGUCGGCGUCAGUAUACCUACUCGUGGCGUUAGAGCCGUCCACAUUUCUUGUUGUGUAAUUCUUUAUGGAUUGGAUAGAAGCAGGCGUUAAUUUGCGGAAGUUCAUCAUGAAUAGAUAAUAAUAAUAAUUAUUUUAUUUUACUAUCAUCCGUGAAAAGCCGACGAACCCAUGCGACAACGUCACUCAAGCAAUUGCAAUUGCACGUUGUAGAGUCAACAUCUCCUGAGGAUGUCUCCACUCAAGGUCAUUCUCUGUAGCCCUUGACUACAAUCUCACCAGAUGGUAAGUGAUGAUGCAAUCUAAGACGGAUGCGGGCUAACUUGUUAGGAGGAGGAUGAAAAUCCACACCCCUUUCUCGGUUUCUACACGGCAUCGUACCGGAACGCUAAAUCACUUGACCGUACGUUUUUGCCGGUAGAGUCGUAACUAGCUACGGCCGAAGCCUCCCACCAGCCAGACCUGCAGGCUGAUUAUGUAUCUCGACGUAUCACUUCUAACUGUGUAACGCAAAGCUAAAUUGAACACUAGAGUGUUUUUGCAAUUCCGAUUAUGUAAGACAUAGGACUGCCACAAUGCCUAGUGAUAUCGUUCUAGGCGCAAAAUUUUAUCGACAUUAUGCGACUAAAUAAAAUACACCCUUUCUCGGUACUACUUACUACGGGCGCGGCAUACUUUUGCACAUAUUCGCAUUAUACUUGAUUUCGCUGUUUGUCUGUGGUGAAGUGAAGUGUUUUAAUUUCUUUGUUGGUAAACAAAGCCGUAUUAAAAUAUUAAUAAAAAAAUUGGUUUCGUUGGCUCAAAGUACUUGCAACAGCUAAUUUUUUGUUUUCAAUAGAAGUAAUUAAUUAAUCAUUUUAUCGUAUACAUUUUUAUUAGUGUUAAUAGUUAAUUUAUCAAAGUUAACGGCCACUUUUACAUAAAACAUUAACACGAAAGUUUUUCAAAGUUUUAUCGUCUGCCUAUGAUUAAUUUAAUGGUCGUUGUGAUAAUAUGUAAAGUAUAUUGUAUAGUGUUUUGUUUAUUAAAGUUCAUCGCUUGCAACUAAAGAUGUCCGGGAAACUCAAUGAUCGCCUUGGCUUGGAUCAAACUUGGCGAUGGGUUGUUUUGGAGGGCCUUUGGAAAGUCAGGCUACUAAAUAAACCUUCCGUGUCUGCCAGUGGAGUUGUAUCAACAUGAAGAUGUGGGCUCUAAGCUUUGAGUGCCAGGGACUGACUAUGGAAGUCUCCAUGUCGCUGGUCACCAUUGAGGUGCAAAACACCUUGAAAAAAUUGGUGAUUCUGAAUCCUUCAUCUCUAUGAACGAUUCAUGAAGAAAGAAUUAAACAAACAUUUAAUGAUCAGAUUUUUUAUAAAAUUAUUAUCAAUAAUGACAUUGCAUAUGAGAGAAAAUUGUCAAAUAUAAUUUCAUUUUAAUUUAAUAUAGUUAAUUAUGACAUCACUGUAUAUAAAGAAUAUAAUUAUUAUCAUUUGGUUAAUUUCAGUAUUACAUAGUAUUAGAUUAAAAUUUUAUUGUAAAAUUGCACAUCAAAAUAUGUUUUAUUAUCUAUUAUUAGGAGGAAAUAUUAUUUAACUAUUAUUAUUAUCCCUAAUAGCCCAGUGAAUGUGACCUCUGCCUCCAAUUCCGGAGGGUGUGGGUUCGAACCCGUUCCGGGGCACGCACCUCCAACUUUUCAGUUGUGUGCAUUUUAAGAAACUAAAUAUCACGUGUCUCAAACAGUGAAGGAAAACAUCGUGAGGAAACCUGCAUACCAGAGAAUUCUCUUAAUUCUCUGCAUAUGUGAUGUCUGCCAAUGUAAUCCAAAUAUGCUGGCCCAUAUUAGGCUCCUGUCAGAAUGAGAGGGGUUAGGCAUUGGCCUUCCCUUACCUUAUCAGCCGAUAGACGUCCACUGCUGGACAUAGACCUCUUACAUGGACCUCCAAGCACAACGACCUUGAGCCGCGAACAUCCAACCAACCGACCAACCACGCUUUCCAGUGCGGGGUCUCCCGAGUGCGGGUAGGCACUAACCCCUCUUACUGGGGGAGACUCGAGCUCAGCAGUGAGCCGAAUAUGUGUUUAUAAUGAUGAUGAUGAUGAUGAUGAUGAUGAUGAUGAUGAUGAUGAUGAUGAUUAUUUAAGUAAUUGUAAAAGAAAAAAUUGCAUACUACAUUAGUUGUUUAUCUAUACAAUUCAAUAAUUUUAAGAACAAAACAUGUACCUACCACAUUGUAGGAAAUAAAUAAAUAAUGAUUUGAUUAAAAACAAUGUUGUUUAAUGUUAAGCAGGUAGGGCCAUGUAGUUAAAGUAGAUACUCUAUAUUUGUGUAACAUCUAUUACUUAAAAAUAAAAAAUAUAUUUACUUGU